rnacentral:rRNA from 1 species
AUUGAACGCUGGCGGCAUGCUUUACACAUGCAAGUCGAACGGCAGCGCGGGCUUCGGCCUGGCGGCGAGUGGCGAACGGGUGAGUAAUUCAUCGGAACGUGCCCAGCAGUGGGGGAUAGCACGGCGAAAGCCGGAUUAAUACCGCAUACGAUCUGAGGGUGAACGCGGGGGACCGAAAGGCCUCGCGCUAUUGGAUCGGCCGAUGUCGGAUUAGCUAGUUGGUGGGGUAAAGGCUUACCAAGGCGACGAUCCGUAGCUGGUCUGAGAGGCCGACCAGCCACACUGGGACUGAGACACGGCCCAGACUCCUACGGGAGGCAGCAGUGGGGAAUUUUGGACAAUGGGGGCAACCCUGACCCAGCCAUGCCGCGUGCGGGAAGAAGGCCUUCGGGUUGUAAACCGCUUUUGUUCGGGAAGAAAUCCUCUGGGCUAAUACCCCGAGGGGAUGACGGUACCGGAAGAAUAAGCACCGGCUAACUACGUG